rnacentral:rRNA from 1 species
AUGAACGCUAGCGACAGGCCUAACACAUGCAAGUCGAGGGGCAGCGAAGAGGUAGCAAUACCUCUGUCGGCGACCGGCGCACGGGUGAGUAACACGUAUGCAAUCCACCUGUAACAGGGGGAUAACCCGGAGAAAUCCGGACUAAUACCCCAUAAUAUGGGCGCUCCGCAUGGAGAGCCCAUUAAAGAGAGCAAUUUUGGUUACAGACGAGCAUGCGCUCCAUUAGCCAGUUGGCGGGGUAACGGCCCACCAAAGCGACGAUGGAUAGGGGUUCUGAGAGGAAGGUCCCCCACAUUGGAACUGAGACACGGUCCAAACUCCUACGGGAGGCAGCAGUGAGGAAUAUUGGUCAAUGGUCGGCAGACUGAACCAGCCAAGUCGCGUGAGGGAAGACGGCCCUACGGGUUGUAAACCUCUUUUGUCGGAGAGUAAAGUACGCUACGUGUAGUGUAUUGCAAGUAUCCGAAGAAAAAGCAUCGGCUAACUCCGUGCCAGCAGCCGCGGUAAUACGGAGGAUGCAAGCGUUAUCCGGAUUUAUUGGGUUUAAAGGGUGCGUAGGCGGCACGCCAAGUCAGCGGUGAAAUUUUCGGGCUCAACCCGGACUGUGCCGUUGAAACUGGCGAGCUAGAGUACACAAGAGGCAGGCGGAAUGCGUGGUGUAGCGGUGAAAUGCAUAGAUAUCACGCAGAACCCCGAUUGCGAAGGCAGCCUGCUAGGGUGAAACAGACGCUGAGGCACGAAAGCGUGGGUAUCGAACAGGAUUAGAUACCCUGGUAGUCCACGCAGUAAACGAUGAAUACUAACUGUUUGCGAUACAAUGUAAGCGGUACAGCGAAAGCGUUAAGUAUUCCACCUGGGGAGUACGCCGGCAACGGUGAAACUCAAAGGAAUUGACGGGGGCCCGCACAAGCGGUGGAGUAUGUGGUUUAAUUCGACGCAACGCGAAGAACCUUACCAAGGCUUGACAUUGAAUGACCAUCUUAGAGAUAAGAUUUUCCCUUCGGGGACAUGAAAACAGGUGGUGCAUGGCUGUCGUCAGCUCGUGCCGUGAGGUGUCGGCUUAAGUGCCAUAACGAGCGCAACCCCUAUCGACAGUUACUAACGGGUCAAGCCGAGGACUCUGUCGAGACUGCCGGCGCAAGCCGCGAGGAAGGUGGGGAUGACGUCAAAUCAGCACGGCCCUUACGUCCGGGGCGACACACGUGUUACAAUGGCAGGUACAGAAGGCAGCCAGUCAGCAAUGACGCGCGAAUCCCGAAAACCUGUCUCAGUUCGGAUUGGAGUCUGCAACCCGACUCCAUGAAGCUGGAUUCGCUAGUAAUCGCGCAUCAGCCAUGGCGCGGUGAAUACGUUCCCGGGCCUUGUACACACCGCCCGUCAAGCCAUGGAAGCCGGGAGUACCUGAAGCAUGCAACCGCAAGGAGCGUACGAAGGUAAUACCGGUAACUGGGGCU